CCCAGUGACAGCAGGAAAAUCCUGACCAGAGGAAUCCGAACAAAAUCCAAACAUAUCCGGUUGUGAUGGUCGCCCCAUUGCGUAUAGAGGAAAUGGAGGAAAACUUGGAAGUACCGCCUUCCAUACAAAGUCAAGGAUCGAGACCUUCCUCUCCGCGUUCCAGAAUCCCUCAGGAAAUACGCGCGUGCCUUCGCAUCUAGAGCAAGCGCUGCAAGAAUUCACAGAACGGCCAGAAGUUCCCCAUCCCGCUGGUGGCACUCACUGCGUUAGGCGCUCAGCCUCCAGUCCGGGCCGCUUUGGCUUGAAGACGGCCGUUUUCCUUCCUGAUACCUGCUUCUAGUCUUUCUGCAACUUCUGGAUUCCUGUCAUUCUUAUACCUGCUCUGGGCAGCCUUCCAUUCAUUCUGCGAAUUCCGUGAAGCUUUUCAAUAAAUUGCUUUUCUCCAAUUAGCCUAAAUCUCUUUCAGUUAUUGGCAGCCCAGUGCCC
rnacentral:lncRNA from 1 species